rnacentral:rRNA from 1 species
GGGCGUACGGUGGAUGCCUAGGCGCUAGAUGAAGAAGGACGCGGCGAGCGGCGAAACGCCCGGGGAGCGGUAAGCAUGCCUUGAUCCGUGGAUAUCCGAAUGGGGCAACCC